UGUUCAUUACAGAUGAUCGCCUUGUCAAUUUUGACGGGGAGGAAAGUCCGAGCUCCACACGAGUAUUUUAUUAAAUAAAAUAUUCCAAAAAGAUAGUGGGUAACGCCCACCAACAGACUGGCAACAGUUUGUUAGGGAUAGUGCCACAGAGACAAUACUAGCCAUUUUAUUAUGGUGAAAGGUGAAAAGUGUAUGGAUUUAUUGAUUUUAAAAAGCUUAAGCUUGGAAUCAAUUCUAUCAUACUCCACGCAUAGUGAUAUGCGUUGGUGGUAAACCCUAUCUGGAGAAAGAACAGCGUUCCCCGACUAAGUCGGGGUUCGAAAAGGUAGUUCGUUUGAGCUUGUUAGCAAUAACAGGUCUAGAGAAAUGAUCAUCCCUGCUUUUUGCAGGUACAAAACUCGGCUUAUCGUAAUUGACAAGAC
rnacentral:RNase_P_RNA from 1 species